rnacentral:rRNA from 1 species
GGCCUACGGGGGGCAGCAGUGGGGAAUAUUGGACAAUGGGGGGAACCCUGAUCCAGCGACGCCGCGUGAGUGAAAAAGUAUUUCGGUAUGUAAAGCUCUAUCAGCAGGGAAGAAAGAAAUGACGGUACCCGACCAAGAAGCCCCGGCUAACUACGUGCCAGCAGCCGCGGUAAUACGUAGGGGGCAAGCGUUAUCCGGAUUCACUGGGUGUAAAGGGAGCGUAGACGGCGAGACAAGUCUGGAGUGAAAGGCCGGGGCCCAACCCCGGGACUGCUCUGGAAACUGCCUGGCUGGAGUACAGGAGG